GCCCGGUUAGCUCAAUCGGUAGAGCGUGAGACUCUUAUGAGUGACACGUUCUGAUGUUGCGAUAUCUCAAGGUUGCGGGUUCGACCCCCGCAUCGGGCU
rfam:Trichoderma virens Gv29-8 TRIVIscaffold_82, whole genome shotgun sequence.